rnacentral:rRNA from 1 species
UACGUAGGGUGCAAGCGUUGUCCGGAAUUACUGGGCGUAAAGCGCACUAGAGCGGACUUGUAAGUCAGGGGUGAAAUCCCGGGGCUCAACCUCGGAACUGCCUUUGAUACUGCGAGUCUCGAGUCCGAUAGAGGUGGGUGGAAUUCCUAGUGUAGAGGUGAAAUUCGUAGAUAUUAGGAAGAACACCGGUGGCGAAGGCGGCCCACUGGAUCGGUACUGACGCUGAGGUGCGAAAGCGUGGGGAGCAAACAGG